UACGUAGGGUGCGAGCGUUAAUCGGAAUUACUGGGCGUAAAGCGUGCGCAGGCGGUUCUGAAAGUCAGCUGUGAAAGCCCCGGGCUUAACCUGGGAACUGCACUUGAAACUACGAUGCUGGAGUAUGGCAGAGGGAGGUGGAAUUCCACGUGUAGCGGUGAAAUGCGUAGAGAUGUGGAGGAACACCGAUGGCGAAGGCAGCCUCCUGGGCCAAUACUGACGCUGAGGCACGAAAGCGUGGGGAGCAAACAGG
rnacentral:rRNA from 1 species